GGAGCAUUGCAUAAUUUCUGAACACAGCUUCUCUCCAAAACCUCUUUCAGACUGUGUGCUCUCCACUUCCCACAAGUGCAACUUUAAAACCAUUAUUCCCAUUCCUCAAAAUCGCCCAGUAUUGGUAACAGUAAGAGCAGAAUUUUCAAAAUUUCCACCUGGUUUUCAGAAGUUUUCAGAGGGGCUUGUUACAGAUGAGAAAACUGAAAGGCUUGGUGGAUUGCAACAUGUAUGCUGCUUGUUACAGAGAAAUACAACUUCUGAAACUUGGCUGGG